rnacentral:rRNA from 1 species
AUUGAACGCUGGCGGCAGGCCUAACACAUGCAAGUCGAACGAGUGGCGGACGGGUGAGUAAUGUCUGGGAAACUGCCUGAUGGAGGGGGAUAACUACUGGAAACGGUAGCUAAUACCGCAUACUAUCAGAUGUCCCCAGGUGGGAUUAGCGAGUAGGUGGGGUAAAGGCUCACCUAGGCGACGAUCACUAGCUGGUCUGAGAGGAUGACCAGCAACACUGGAAUUGAGACACGGUCCAGACUCCUAGGGGAGGCAGAAGUGGGGAAUAUUGCAAAAUGGGCGCAAGCCUGAUGCAGCCAUGCGGCGUGUGUGAAGAAGGCCUUCGGGUUGUAAAGCACUUUCAGCGGGGAGGCGUUACCCGCAGAAGAAGCACCGGCUAACUCCGUGCCAGCAGCCGCGGUAAUAC